rnacentral:rRNA from 1 species
UACGGAGGGUGCGAGCGUUAUCCGGAUUCACUGGGUUUAAAGGGUGCGUAGGUGGGUCUGUAAGUCAGUGGUGAAAUCUCCGGGCUUAACCUGGAAACUGCCAUUGAUACUAUAGGUCUUGAAUUUUCUGGAGGUAAGCGGAAUAUGUCAUGUAGCGGUGAAAUGCUUAGAUAUGACAUAGAACACCAAUUGCGAAGGCAGCUUGCU